CUACUGCGAUAAAAACCAGUAACCCUAAAUUUUAUUCAAACCGUCUCUCUCUUUGUGGCUGAACCAGAUGGUGAAGAUUAAGAAGAAAGAUAAAAUUUCUGCAAAGCAGGUUGUUGUUACUAAUGAAGAUCUGAAAUCUAUAAUCAAAGAUAAUUCAGAGUUCUUCGAUAAGCUUGUAGAAUUAAUCCCUCCAAAAUUCUUUAUACCAGCUCCAGAGAAAACAACAUAUUUUCAAGGAUUAAGUAGGGUUGCAAAAGCUUCAGCCAAGAAAGAAUCAAGAGAAAAUCGUAAGAAGGCUAGAAAAGCUAAGUUGGAUCCUGAGGUUCCUUCAGGAACCCUAGACGUUCUAAAGCAAAAAUUAUUAGAGGAUUCAGAUGAUGAUUCAGAAGAUGAUGAUGAGGAAGAAGAAGAAGAAGAAGAAGAUGAUGAUGAUAAUGAAAGGAAAUUGCAAAUCAAAGAGCUAAGAGACGAGGAGAAAUCGUUGACGUAUGAGGAACUUCAAGGAAAGUUGAAUAGGAAAUUGGAGGAGCUUAGGUCUGGUCGAAAAGCUGGACCUGAAGAGGAAUCGAAUAGGGAAAAGAAAAGGCAAUCCUGGUUUUUGAAAAGAAAGAGAGAAAAUGAAGGUCAAAUCGAAACUAAAGCGGAGAUUAAGAAGAAGGCAGAGGCUAAUAUUCAGAGUAAGAAGAUUAAGGAAGAUAUUGCAAAAGCUGUUGAUGGACUUACUUUUGGUCAUGUCAAGAUUGAUGAAAAUGAUGGAGAAUUUGGUAAGAAGAAGAGGAAACUUUCGAAAUCCCAAGCUCUUCAAGAGGCGAGAAAGAUUCAGGAAGCCAAGAAGGAUCCUGAAAAGGGGGAGAUAAUUGCAAAGAAACAUACAUUGAGUGCAGCAAUUAGUAGAGCUGCGGGUAUUAAAGUUCAUGAUGAUCCGAAAUUGAUUAACAAGAGUAUUAAGAAAGAAAGGAAGCAACAGCAGAAAAGUGCUCAGAAAUGGAAAGAUAGAGAUGAGACUAAGAACAAAGCUAGGGCUGAAAAACAGAAAGCUAGGAAUGAUAAUAUACAAGGAAGAAUUCAAGCUAAGAAAGCUAAGAAGAUCGAGAAGCGUGAGAAGAAACUUAUGCGCCCAGGGUUUGAAGGUCGUACACAAAAAAUUAUCAAUGAGCCUGCCAAAAACUAAAAUUUGGGUCCACCGAAGUUGAUGAACGUCCAGAUAUAUUGUACUGGUCCGAGGCACAAUUGGAUAGGACAAAGCUGGUUCUGUUAGACGAAAAAGAAAUGAACCCAAGAAGAAGCUUGGAAAGAGGAAUACCAGAGAUUCAUAUAGGGACUUCGGGAAGGUGGGUUGCUGGGGCCUAGUGGCGUUGAGACCGGAUGAAGUGGUGACCUGGGCAGUUCUCAAAGCAAUCAAACAGGCACAUGAAUAACCAGAUACAAACAUUGGUAUCGAAGGGGAUUGUGUAUCAGUAGUUAACUUUAUGAAUCUUGAACAUGUUAAUAUGAUUUUAAGUUGUCUAACUGUAUCCCACAAAGCUAAUCCUGUGUUACUGUUUUUGUUGCACCCAGUUUCCUGUUAUAUACAUUCAAAAACAUGACUCCUCCUGAACUACUGCUUUUGUAAUGCUAGAGGCCCCUGUUUUAGUAUUUUUAUGUUUGG